CUGGGCGAUUACGAACGAAAUAACUGUCUUGAAUAAUUUUUUCUUGUAAACCUGUUCCGUUGUAUAUUGUGUACAAGUCGUUGUUUUCUCAUUGACAAUUGUAGUGUCAUCGUCUUCAGGAUUACUUAAAGUUGUGUUGUCAUUCGCUGAAAAAGAUGCCGGUGAGUGUUUCAUUGGAUAGAGUGUUCUAAUUCUUUUAGGAGUAAUGGAUUUUUGCGGCGUGAACGAGUGCUUUUUAGAUGAACCUGGUGAUGAACUAUGAUGCAUUUUGGCUGGUGGAGGCUUCAGGCAUAUCUUAUAUUGAGGACUAUUUUGUGAUGUUUUGGUUUAUUGAGCCAUAGCCUUGACUUCUUUUUACCAUGAUAGUG
rnacentral:lncRNA from 1 species